rnacentral:rRNA from 1 species
AGCGAACGCUGGCGGCAGGCUUAACACAUGCCAGUCGAGCGGGCAUCCUUGUGGUGUCAGCGGCAGACGGGUGAGUAACGCGUGGGAACGUGCCCUUCGGUUCGGAAUAACUCAGGGAAACUUGAGCUAAUACCGGAUACGCCCUUUUGGGGAAAGGUUUACUGCCGAAGGAUCGGCCCGCGUCUGAUUAGCUAGUUGGUGAGGUUAUGGCUCACCGAGGCGACGAUCAGUAGCUGGUCUGAGAGGAUGAUCAGCCACACUGGGACUGAGACACGGCCCAGACUCCUACGGGAGGCAGCAGUGGGGAAUAUUGGACAAUGGGGGCAACCCUGAUCCAGCCAUGCCGCGUGAGUGAUGACGGCCUUAGGGUUGUAAAGCUCUUUUCUCCGGGACGAUAAUGACGGUACCGGAGGAAUAAGCCCCGGCUAACUUCGUG